AACGCACAUUGCGCCCUUUGGUAUUCCGAAGGGCAUGCCUGUUCGAGCGUCAUUAUCACCCCUCAAGCCUCUGUGCUUGGUGUUGGACGGCUUGGUCGGACGACGACCCCUCCUAAAGAUAACGACGGCGGCCUGUGGGACCCCCGGUACACUGAGCUUUUCACCGAGCACGUAUCGGACGAGGGAACCCGGGCCCCGGUCAUCUCCCCUCGUGGGAAAACCAUUUUCAAGUUUUUGACCUCGGAUCAGGUAGGGAUACGCGCUGAACUUAA
rnacentral:misc_RNA from 1 species